GUACAUAAGGAAGGAGAUUGUCAAGGACGAAUCUAAGCACCACUACCUCGGCUUAGCAAUACAAUAUGUUUCUAAAGUGCUUUACAGAGGCGCUAACUCACACGACGACACUGUAGAUUUCAGUCAGUGGGUUCAGAGACACACCUAAACUACCCUGGACUAAAUCACACACGUGAACUCUCCAACAAACUGUCACCGGUCACAUUUACAGUGUAUCUUUCCAAAAGGUCCGUCUGAAGAGACACACAAAGCCAGAGAACUGCCUCACUAAUACUCCUAGAACUAGAGAAACCUGGUGGUCGGUCGGUCAGUACGGUCGGUCAGUGGCACAUAUCUGGUGACGACUCCAGAGGUGAGCUGUCUGUCUGGUCAGCUAUUUUCAGUUAAGGUUACGGUCAGGAGGAGUCUGGAUGGACAGGAGGGUUAGGAGGAGUCUGGAUGAACAGGAGUGUUAGGAGGUGUCUGGAUGGUCAGGAAGGUUAGGAGGGUUAAGGUCAGGAGGAGUCUGGAUGGUCAGGAGGGUUAGGAGGUGUCUGGAUGGUCAGGAGGGUUAAGGUUAGGAGGUGUCUGGAUGGUCAGGAGGGUUUGGAGGAGUCUGGAUGGUCAGGAGGGUUAGGAGGUGUCUGGUUGGUCAUGAGGGUUAAGGUUAGGAGGAGUCUGGAUGGUCAGGAUGGUUAGGAGGAGUCUGGAUGGUCAGGAUGGUUAGGAGGUGUCUGGAUGGUCAGGAGGGUUAAGGUCAGGAGGAGUCUGGAUGGUCAGGAGGGUUAGGAGGUGUCUGGAUGGUCAGGAGGGUUAGGAGGUGUCUGGAUGGUCAGGAGGGUUAAGGUUAGGAGAUGUCUGGAUGGUCAGGAGGGUUAGGAGGAGUCUGGAUGGUCAGGAGGGUUAAGGUCAGGAGGAGUCUGGAUGAACAGGAGUGUUAGGAGGUGUCUGGAUGGUCAGGAAGGUUAGGAGGGUUAAGGUCAGGAGGAGUCUGGAUGGUCAGGAGGGUUAGGAGGUGUCUGGAUGGUCAGGAGGGUUAGGAGGUAUCUGGUUGGUCAUGAGGGUUAAGGUUAGGAGGAGUCUGGAUGGUCAGGAUGGUUAGGAGGUGUCUGGAUGGUCAGGAGGGUUAAGGUUAGGAGGUGUCUGGAUGGUCAGGAGGGUUUGGAGGAGUCUGGAUGGUCAGGAGGGUUAGGAGGUGUCUGGUUGGUCAUGAGGGUUAAGGUUAGGAGGAGUCUGGAUGGUCAGGAUGGUUAGGAGGAGUCUGGAUGGUCAGGAUGGUUAGGAGGUGUCUGGAUGGUCAGGAGGGUUAAGGUCAGGAGGAGUCUGGAUGGUCAGGAGGGUUAGGAGGUGUCUGGAUGGUCAGGAGGGUUAGGAGGUGUCUGGAUGGUCAGGAGGGUUAAGGUUAGGAGAUGUCUGGAUGGUCAGGAGGGUUAGGAGGAGUCUGGAUGGUCAGGAUGGUUAGGAGGUGUCUGGAUGGUCAGGAGGGUUAGGAGGUGUCUGGAUGGUCAGGAGGGUUAGGAGGUGUCUGGAUGGUCAGGAGGGUUAAGGUUAGGAGAUGUCUGGAUGGUCAGGAGGGUUAGGAGGAGUCUGGAUGGUCAGGAUGGUUAGGAGGUGUCUGGAUGGUCAGGAGGGUUAGGAGGUGUCUGGAUGGUCAGGAGGGUUAGGAGGUGUCUGGAUGGUCAGGUAGGUUAGGAGGAGUCUGGAUGGUCAGGAGGGAUAAGGUUAGGAGGUGUCUGGUUGGUCAUGAGGGUUAAGGUUAGGAGGAGUCUGGAUGGUCAGGAUGGUUAGGAGGUGUCUGGAUGGUCAGGAGGGUUAAGGUUGGGAGGUGUCUGGAUGGUCAGGAGGGUUAGGAGGUGUCUGGAUGGUCAGGAGGUGUCUGGAUGGUCAGGAGGGUUAGGAGGUGUCUGGUUGGUCAGGAGGGUUAAGGUUAGGAGGUGUCUGGAUGGUCAGGAGGGUUAGGAGGUGUCUGGAUGGUCAGGGGGGUUAGGAGGUGUCUGGUUGGUCAGGAGGGUUAGGUUAGGAGGUGUCUGGUUGGUCAGGAGGGUUAAGUUUGGGAGGUGUAUGGAUGGUCAGGAGGGUUAGGAGGUGUCUGGUUGGUCAGGAGGGUUAAGGUUAGGAGGUGUCUGGAUGGUCAGGAGGGUUAGGAGGUGUCUGGAUGGUCAGGAGGGUUAAGGUUGGGAGGUGUCUGGAUGGUGAGGAGGGUUAAGUUUGGGAGGUGUCUGGAUGGUCAGGAGGGUUAGGGUUGGGAGGUGUCUGGAUGGUCAGGAGGGUUAGGAGGUGUCUGGUUGGUCAGGAGGGUUAAGGUUAGGAGGUGUCUGGAUGGUCAUGAGGGUUGGGAGGUGUCUGGGUGGUCAGGAGGGUUAGGAGGUGUCAGGAGGGUUAAGGUUGGGAGGUGUCUGGAUGGUCAGGAGGGUUAGGAGGUGUCAGGAGGGUUAAAGUUGGGAGGUGUCUGGAUGGUCAGGAGGUGUCUGGUUGGUCAGGAGGGUUAAGGUUAGGAGGUGUCUGGUUGGUCAGGAGGGUUAAGGUUAGGAGGUGUCUGGAUGGUCAGGAGGGUUAAGGUUGGGAGGUGUCUGGAUGGUCAGGAGGGUUAAGGUUGGGAGGUGACUGGAUGGUGAGGAGGGUUAAGGUUGGGAGGUGUCUGGAUGGUCAGGAGGGUUAAGGUUGGGAGGCGUCUGGAUGGUCAGGAAGGUUAAGGUUGGGAGGUGUCUGGAUGGUCA